CGAACGCUGGCGGCAUGCCUAACACAUGCAAGUCGAACGAGACCUUCGGGUCUAGUGGCGCACGGGUGCGUAACGCGUGGGAACCUGCCCUUAGGUUCGGAACAACUCCCCGAAAGGGGUGCUAAUACCGGAUAAUGUCUUCGGACCAAAGAUUUAUCGCCUUUGGAUGGGCCCGCGUUGGAUUAGCUAGUUGGUAGGGUAAAAGCCUACCAAGGCGACGAUCCAUAGCUGGUCUGAGAGGAUGAUCAGCCACACUGGGACUGAGACACGGCCCAGACUCCUACGGGAGGCAGCAGUGGGGAAUAUUGGACAAUGGGCGAAAGCCUGAUCCAGCAAUGCCGCGUGAGUGAUGAAGGCCUUAGGGUUGUAAAGCUCUUUUACCCGGGAUGAUAAUGACAGUACCGGGAGAAUAAGCUCCGGCUAACUCCGUG
rnacentral:rRNA from 1 species